CAUAGCGACUAUCGUGGCAUAUCAAUAAGCGGAGGAAAAGAAACUAACAAGGAUUCCCUUAGUAACGGCGAGUGAAGCGGGAAGAGCUCAAAUUUGAAAUCUUCAAGGUUCUACCUUGACGAAUUGUAGUUUAUAGAAGUGUUUUCUGUUAGUAGAGUGGCAAAAGUUCUUUGGAAUAGGACAUCAUAGAGGGUGAGAAUCCCGUAUUUGGUCAUUCUUUCUAGCUUUGUGAUACACUUUCAACGAGUCGGAUUGUUUGGGAAUGCAGUCCAAAAUGGGUGGUAAAUUUCAUCUAAAGCUAAAUAUUGGCGAGAGACCGAUAGCGAACAAGUACCGUGAGGGAAAGAUGAAAAGAACUUUGAAAAGAGAGUUAAACAGUACGUGAAAUUGUCAAAAGGGAAGCGUUUGACACCAGUGUUGUCUUUCCGAAAAUCAAUUACGAAUGUUUUAUUUUUGAGAAGUUAUGACUUCAUCGGCUUGCUUCUCUCUUUAUGAAACUUUCUUAAUGCACUUUUCGGUUAACAAGUCAACAUCAAUUUCUUUUGUUGUAAAAGGGUAUGAGGAAGGUGGCUUUCUUUUCGGAGAAAGUGUUUAUAGCCUUGUACCUCUGCAAUCGGAGAGAUUGAGGUCUGCAGCGUAGAUCCUUCGGGGUUAGAUACAUUUGUGCUAAGUUAUAGCUUUUCAUAGACAACUUGUUGACUAUGUUUAGUCUUGUAGCUUACUCGCUUAUGCUAUUUUACCUACGCUUAGGAUGUUGAUAUGCAUGACUGAUAU
rnacentral:rRNA from 1 species